UAGCUCAGUUGAUAGAGCACAAGGCUUCUAACCUUGUGGUUGUGAGUUGAAGCCUGAAGCCUCAC
rnacentral:tRNA from 1 species